CCUACGGGUGGCAGCAGUGAGGAAUAUUGGUCAAUGGACGAGAGUCUGAACCAGCCAAGUAGCGUGAAGGAUGAAUGCCCUAUGGGUUGUAAACUUCUUUUAUAUGGAAAUAAAAUGUUCCACGUGUGGGAUUUUGUAUGUACCAUAUGAAUAAGGAUCGGCUAACUCCGUGCCAUCAGCCGCGGUAAUACGGAGGAUCCGGGCGUUAUCAGGAUUUAUUGGGGGUAAAGUGAGCGUAGCGGGAUUGUUAAGUCAGUUGUGAAAUUUUGCGGCUCAACCGUAAAAUUGCAGUUGAAACUGGCAGUCUUGAGUAUAGGAGAGGUGGGCAGAAUUCGUGGUGUAGCGGUGAAAUGCUUAGAUAUCACGAAGAACUCCGAUGGCGAAGGCAGUUCAAUGGAAUGAAACUGACACUGAGGCUCGAAAGUGUGGGUAUCAAACAGGAUUAGAUACCCCUGUAGUC
rnacentral:rRNA from 1 species